UGGGGAAUUUUGGACAAUGGGCGAAAGCCUGAUCCAGCAAUGCCGCGUGUGUGAAGAAGGCCUUCGGGUUGUAAAGCACUUUUGUCCGGAAAGAAAUCCUUGGCUCUAAUACAGUCGGGGGAUGACGGUACCGGAAGAAUAAGCACCGGCUAACUACGUGCCAGCAGCCGCGGUAAUACGUAGGGUGCAAGCGUUAAUCGAAUUACUGGGCGUAAAGCGUGCGCAGGCGGUUUGCUAAGACCGAUGUGAAAUCCCCGGGCUCAACCUGGGGAACUGCAUUGGUGAACUGGCAGGCUAGAGUAUGGCAGGAGGGGGGUAGAAUUCCACGUGUAGCAGUGAAAUGCGUAGAGAUGUGGAGGAAUACCGAUGGCGAAGGCGAGCCCCCUGGGCCAAUACUGACGCUCAUGCACGAAAGCGUGGGGAGCAAACAGGAUU
rnacentral:rRNA from 1 species